GAGGUUGUAGCUCAGUGGUAGAGCACUUACCUAGCAUGUGUGAGGCCCUGUGUGAGGCCCUGGGUUCGAUCCCCAGCACCACA
rnacentral:tRNA from 1 species